GACCAACCCUUAAAGACUGCUGCAUCUUUAGGAUAUUCUAGUCCAACAUCGAGGUCACAAACUCUCUUUUCGAUAAGAACUCUCAAAGAGAAUUAUGCUGUUAUCCCUAUGGUAACUAAUUCCAUUGAUCAAAAUUUCUGGAUCAAGACCCGCGGGUCGUGUAAUAAUAAAGAAGCUUUAUUUGUUCCAUAGUCGCCCCAACCAAAAUCUAAAACAGGUUAAUAUUUAAAGCUAUAUAUUGCUCUCAAUUUAUUCUUUUAAAGCUCAAUAGGGUCUUCUUGUCCUUCAAUAACAUUUAGGUUUCUUCACCUAAAAAUCAAGUUCUGAAAAAUUAUGUAGAGACAGUCUUGUUCACGUCAAACCAUUCAUACUAGCCCUCAAUUAUAGGGCAAAUGAUUAUGCUACCUUUGCACGGUCAGAGUACCGCGGCCGUUGAAAAUUAUUCACUGGGCAGGUCCGACUC
rnacentral:rRNA from 1 species